CCCCCCCACUCAAGCAUCUUUCUGAAGCUUGGAUUACUUUGGAGAAGUGGCCUUCCUGCAAGGCCGCUCUCCAGAAAUUCAUAGGCAGUAUGGUUUGUCUCUCAACCAGACGUAAUAAUAAUAAAAUCGUCUUUUGGGGAAUCAUUGUACUUGCCCUAACACACCCAUCUUUAACU
rnacentral:misc_RNA from 1 species